rfam:Gossypium raimondii Chr01_contig_121, whole genome shotgun sequence.
UAUUAAAAAUUCCAUCCAUUUCUAUUGAUAAAAACUAGUGUGACUAACGAAAUAACCAACAGUUACACAUGGUGUGCCACGUAUACCAUGUUGACGUACAAAGACUAGUUUUUAACAAUAAAAUUGGAUGGAAUUUUUAAAG